ensembl:lncRNA novel transcript
AUGUUCCUUCUUCUGGUGCUUCUCACUGGACUUGGUGGGAUGCAUGCAGACCUCAAUCAAUUUUAUCUUCAGCUUCUGUUAUUAAUUCUUAUGACGAAAAUGACAUCCGUCAUUCCAAACCUCUGCUAGUUCAGAUGGAUUGCAUUUAUAAUGGAUAUGUUGCGGGUAUUCCAAAUUCUCUUGUGACUCUCAGCGUAUGUUCAGGACUCAGGGGAACAAUGCAGCUGAAAAACAUCUCAUAUGGAAUUGAACCGAUGGAGGCUGUUAUCAGGAUUUAUAC